ensembl:lncRNA
AGAUUGUCUCUGAGCUAACAUCUGGGCCAAUCUUCCUCUAUUUUGUAUGUGGGUUGCUGCCACAGCACGGCUUGAUGAGCAGUGUGUAGGUCCGCACUCAGGAUCCAAACCUGCAAACCCCAAGCCGAUGAAGUGGAGUGCGUGAACUUAACUGCUACACCACCAGCCCAGCCCCUCAUUUGGAAUUUUUAAUGCUAUUCCUGGCUGGCCUGGAAUUUUCCUUUGCUCUCCUGAUGAAGAUGUAUGUAAUGAGCAAAUUGUGUUAGCACAGCUCAGCCUUCUCAAGCAUCUUAAACCAGGGUGGCAUAGCUAAUAUUUGCAGGUGCACAUUAAGUGGAUUCUAAAGGACUUUGGCUCUUCAUGAGAGUAGGCACUGUUGGGCAAUGGUAUCUCAUCCAUUUUUGCUAUUGUUUUUGUUGUGGGUGACUAGAUAGCCACAAAAGGAAGAAUAAAUAGGUUGAGAUCUAAGUUCUCUGGACGGUACAGUAUUCAGAUGAGCACAGAGCGGGGUGUAUUGCUUACAUUGCUUUUCCUUUGGACCAGAAAGGCACAUGUUAGGCAUCAGGAAAAAGCCAUAGCCAUCAGUCAUGUUUCCAAAUGCCUCCCAGAAACCACGCAGCAGCAGUCUGCUGCUUUGGGCUACUGCUGCUUCCACAGGGGCUGCUGCGGACACCUGUGCGUCUGGAUGUGCUUGUGUGGAUGGGUCACUUUCUGUGCUCAGAGAAGAGGUUCCAAGCCAGGCUUUAGGUCACCAGGUCACAGCCUUUUCCCUCAUCCUCACUUGUCCUGUCACUGUUCCCAAGGUUAGGGGCCUCUUCUGCUUGGCCAGUGGCUUGGCCAGAACCAGCUCUUCCCUGCCACCAUUCAGGGUCUUGGAAUGAGCAUACACCACCAGCCCAGAGGCUCCCAUGCUCAAAACUCUCCUCUUCCUGCCCGAAGAACUCCUUCAUUUGACCAGAGGUGCCAAAUGCAUUCAACUUAGAAAAGAACUUUUUGAUGUCACUUCUCUGAUAUUCGGGACUCAUUAAUAUCUAUGGAAAUCAGCCAAGGGCUCUGAUACCAGGGGUGAUUGGAAGGGUUAGAGUUUGCCAAAGGUGCGGUGGGAUAAGAGAGAAGUUCUAUGGACCUUUCUCCCAGGGUCUGGGCCCUACUUGCCUUAGGUUUCUGGAAUGAAGAUGGACAACUCAAGUCGUACUUGGCAAGAGAAAGAUCUGCACGAUCUACCUCGAGACAGCACAGAGAAUUCCAAUGAGGAAAUGCUAAUCACUGUUGCAUUGAAGCCUAGCUCUUUUCUUAUCUUCUCAGCCAGCCCCCUAAUCUCCUUCCCUGUUGAUACCAUCAGUGUUUCAACUAGUCUCUGCCCCUUUAGAUCAAAAACUUAAAUCAUUUGAAUGAACUUCCUUUACUUCUCCCUCUCAGGACUUAGAAUACUUACAGGAACUUCGACACAAAUUAUACUCCUGUGAAUUAUGUGAUAAAUUACUGCAAAUUUAGUAGUGAAAAAUAUCUGUUAAAAUGUAUUUUCAGAAACUGUUGUUCCCUGGAGGCUGUCAGAUGUGUAUAUGAUGAUGCCUUUAUUCCCCUCCUCCACACCCAUUUGAAAAAUUAAGCAACGUCUACGCGUUUGAAUCUGAGGGAGAAGAGAUCUUUUCCAGGAAUCCGUUCUCCAUGUCUUCAUUUCUGGUGCCAUGUAUCUUUUCAGUUAAACCAGGACUCGGGCUUUAUAUCCAUCAUGACACCGAGAUAUGAUGAGAGGAUAAGAAAAUGUGAGCGAAG